rnacentral:rRNA from 1 species
AUUGAACGCUGGCGGAAUGCUUUACACAUGCAAGUCGAGCGGCAGCGCGGGGGCAACCCUGGCGGCGAGCGGCGAACGGGUGAGUAAUACAUUGGAACGUGUCCUUCAAGUGGGGGAUAGCUCGGCGAAAGCCGGAUUAAUACCGCAUAAGCUCUGAGGAGGAAAGCGGGGGACUGGUAACGGCCUCGCGCUGUUGGAGCGGCCGAUGUCGGAUUAGCUAGUUGGUGGGGAAAGGCCCACCAAGGCGACGAUCCGUAGCUGGUCUGAGAGGAUGAUCAGCCACACUGGAACUGAGACACGGUCCAGACUCCUACGGGAGGCAGCAGUGGGGAAUUUGGACAAUGGGGGCAACCCUGAUCCAGCCAUGCCGCGUGAGUGAAGAAGGCCUGG